GAUGAAGAACGUAGUGAAAUGCGAUAAGUAAUGUGAAUUGCAGAAUUCAGUGAAUCAUCGAAUCUUUGAACGCACCUUGCACCCUUUGGCAUUCCGAAGGGUAUGCUCGUUUGAGUGUCAUUGUACUCUCACACUUCCAAUCUUUGGAUUGGGAGCAGUGGACUUGGGUGUUGCUGCUUACUGUGGCUCACCUCAAAUCGAUUCGUGCACCUCUUGGUUGGACAUAGUACGGCGUGAUAAGUGUCUUCGCCGGCACCUCAGUAGAGGGUGGCUGAUCAGGAGCUCUGUGCUUCAAACCGUCCUCGGACAAAAACUGACAACUUGACCUCAAAUCGAGUAGGACUACCCGCUGAACUUAAGCAUAUCAAUAAGCGGAGGA
rnacentral:misc_RNA from 1 species